GCUAGCAUGCCGUAGUGGUUUGCGUGCUGGACUAUGACUCUGGAGACCAAGGUUCAAAUCCCAUCUCAGCC
rnacentral:tRNA from 1 species